AUAAAAACAUAAUGGAGAAUUCUGCCUGGAAUCUGAAUGUUUUUAGGGUCCAGCAGUGGAUAGUGACAUUAUUCUUUUUAACUUCUGAGAAUCCACAAAGCCUCCUGCUAUCAUAAGAUUUCAACCACUAUGCAUGAUGUAGGAUGAAGAUUCCAUGCUAAAUAUUGCUCCAUAUUUCACGCCAUUCCCAUCUCCAUCAAAAGGGAGUUUUAUGCCUAUGUAAUCAGUGCAGACAGCCGUUAAGUAAAUGAAGAGGCAACUAACAAUGUCAGAAAAGAGACCGGGCGGUUCCGGCUGACACUACCCUAAUCUUCCAGGACCCAUUAAAUGGCAGUUUCAACGCAUUACCUACCAUAACAUCCUUGAAUAUCACUGAUUUUAUUUGCAGUAUCAAACAUUCCAUUUCAUGCCCCAUUAACAGUGGGAGCCUGAGCUUUUUGACGCAGCUAAACAUUUUACUAACUACCUGGACUAAGUAACCAAUUAACUUUUGGAGACAAUACGGCCAAUUAAGCGCGAAAAGCACAAGUCAUUGCAUUUAUGUUUGAAGCCAUUAGGAAUAAGGAUCCUUUUAAUCCAUUGACAAAAUUCAAUUUCUGUCUGCCAUAAUCCAGAUGAAGGAGGAGAAAACACACAAGGAAUUUGCCACUUCAUGAAGUAAUUUCAUUCUGCUGCCUAAAAUCGUUACUAACCUCUGCAACACUUAAUUAAUUGAAAUGACUCUAGCCGUGGGAUUUUGUGGUGAAGAGGUCUCUAAUAGUUACAUGUGAUUCGACCUGGAAUUCAGUUAGAGCUAAAAGAUACUUGAACAACAUUUUCAAGGAAUGAAAAAUGAAGACCCUGUUGAAUUUAAUCAAUCACUUGCUUUCUUUCUUCUGCUUCUUGCUUUUCCUCUGAGAUUUGAUGAAUUAAAUUUUUGCUGGGUGAAUAUACAAAGUAUCCACCUAGACACACAUUGGAUUAUUUGAAAGAAGGUAUCAAGUGUUGAGGGUCCUUUAGUAUGAGAAGAGUAAAUUGGUUUUGUAAGCUGCCGUAUGUAACUAGUAGAAUCACAGCCCAUUUCACCAAAACAGGAUGAUUCUAACUCAUCCUGAAUUGUUUCUAUCAUAAUAAAUGCUACAGAAGGAAGAAAGGAACAUGAAGCCAUUGUUUGAUAUGUUGAAUCUAUUUUAAUCAACUCAUUACACAUGUUCUGUACACAUACUCAUACUUAAAGGUACUUUACUGAAUCUGAAGAAAUCCAGUAUGAUGUUUAAAAAAAAAGUUUUUUGAUUCCCACUGUUACCACCUACCAUUGUUUUUACAUCCUUACUUGUCCUGUUAAAAGAGAUUCCUGAUUGAUCUGUCAAAUUAUUAUUCCUCAAACGUCAUUUUCAUCAUAUUAAUCCCCUGCCCAGAUAUCUUCAGCAAUUCCCUACUGGCCACAGGAUAAAAUUUAAACUUUCGAUUCUGGAAUUCAAAGACUGCCACUGUAAGAUUCAACAUACUUUUCCAAUAAUAUCUCCCAUAUUGAUUUAUUGAUCUAUAAAAAGAGAGGACUGAAUAUUGUUGUAUUGAAAAGUGUGUUGGGCUCAGUUAGAGGACUUGGUUUUGAAUCCCAGAUGUAUGACCUUACCAUAACUUGAGACUCCCCUUAUUAGAGGAAUCCUGAUUUGGUAUAGUCAAUGGCAGACCACAAUUCAAAUCAGUAGAUGCUGAUCAAGCACCGAGUAGUAUGUGCCACGCACUAAGCUAGAUAUUAGGGAAACAGUAACCCAACAGUAACACAUUAGUCCCUCCUCCUUGAGGACUGUGUGUAAGGGCAAUCCAUGCACAUUCCUCUGGAGCGGGUGAGGGGGGUGCAAUAUGUCAAAUCAACAAGCGAUUAUUAAAUGCUCACUGUAUGCUCCAGGCACUAUGCUAAGCAAUGGCAAUACAAAGAAAGGGAAAUAAACGUGGUCUUUACCCUCAGGAAGCUCACCACCUAAUGGGGGAGAGGGGAGACAACAUGUAAAUAAUUUUGUAGAUACAAGAUAUAUACAGUAUGAAUCAAUGGUAAUCUCAGAGUGUUGGAAUUGUGAUAGAGGAGAGGGUAAUGUGAAAGCCCUCUUGCAGAGGGAGUGGUUUGACCUAACUCUUGGAAGAAGUCAAGGAAGUUAAGAGUUGGAAGUAACGAAGGAAGAAGAACAUUACAAGCAUAUGAGACAGCCAGCAUAAAUGCACAGAAUUGGGAGGAGUGUGGUGAGUGGAUUUAUUUUUUAUUUUAUUUUAAAAAUAUUAGUAUUUU